GUGAAUCUAUAUCUUGUAACUAUUCAACUACUGGCUUAGGAGGAUAUGCAUAUCUGAAAAUCAUCCAUUCUUUUGAUAAAGUUAUCGAUCUGCGUCAUUUUCGGUUAUCAUAAUCACCAUGACUUUUAUGUGUCGAUUACGAAAAAAAAUUUCUCUAUCAUGCUUCUAGAUCCAAAAACUGGCAACGAUCCACAAUAUUUUAAAACAAAAAACAUUCAAGUAGAGUCAGAUCGGUACCAGUUAGGUGUUCAUCGCAUUUCAAAAGUCGGUUUCGUGGGUUUGUCCAGAGGCCACUGUACAUUAGUCUUUCCAAGUGUGAAAGGGAAUAUCAUAUACGGUGUUUGAGGGAACACAAGAAGAUGUAUAUGAAGGUGUCUUCUCAUUUCGGAGGGAUCGGAAUCGGAAUCACAUAUUCCGAUGUGAAGUGGAUUGUUUUCCUUGGGAAAGAUGUUUCUGAUGAAUGGUGACAUUCUAAGGAACAUCUUUGUUAGAAAUGGAGGUGGUGGGUCUUCAAGGUGGAAUUACUUUUCAAGAUGGUUUUGGUUUUUGUCUUUGCAUGGAGAAGUAAAGUAAACAAUGAAUGAAUGAAUAAUGAAUACCCAUUUGUUGAUUUUUAUUUGAUGGUUUUAAAAUAUAGAUUUGAUGUACGUUUCAAGAUUUUUCCUUUGUUGAAUAUGUAAUUAUUGUUAUUUUUUGCAUGAAUUUAUAUUUUUUUUUAUAUCCAAAACUCGCUGCUAGCCUAUCACAUAAAAAUCUCUCUGUAAUCUAUUAGUGAGUUUUUCUUAAAUUUUGUCGAUAGUUCGUUAGGGAGCUAUUCUUUUGGUAAUUUUUACAAAAAAGUGUAUUCUUCAUUGAUCGGUUACUAAUAACCGACGUAAAAAUUCGUUAAUCUAAAAAAGGGUACGGUUCAUUAAACAAAUUAGAUGCGUCCAGAUAAAAUGAAACUCUACCAACACGACACAAUGCCGCUGCCGCCGAUCCUUCGCCAUCUAAAUGCCACAAUUUCGCUGCCGGAGACUCUGUGAACAACCCGAAAAA